rnacentral:rRNA from 1 species
AUUGAACGCUGGCGGCAUGCCUUACACAUGCAAGUCGAACGGCAGCGGGCCUUCGGGUGCUGACGAGUGGCGGACGGGUGAGUAACGCGUAAGAAUCUGCCUCAUAGUGGGGGACAACGUGGGGAAACUCACGCUAAUACCGCAUACGCCCUACGGGGAAAGCGGGGAUCUUCGGACCUCGCGCUAUGAGAUGAGCCUGCGUUAGAUUAGCUAGUUGGUGGGGUAAAGGCCUACCAAGGCGACGAUCUAUAGCUGGUCUGAGAGGACGAUCAGCCACACUGGGACUGAGACACGGCCCAGACUCCUACGGGAGGCAGCAGUGGGGAAUAUUGGACAAUGGGCGCAAAGCCUGAUCCAGCAAUACCGCGUGUGUGAAGAAGGCCCUAGGGUUGUAAAGCACUUUCAAUUGGGAGGAAAAACCCUGCCGGUUAAUACCCGUAGCUUGACAUUACCAAUAGAAGAAGCACCGGCUAACUCCGUGCCAGCAGCCGCGGU